rnacentral:rRNA from 1 species
GACGAACGCUGGCGGCGUGCUUAACACAUGCAAGUCGAACGGAAAGGACCUGCUUUUGUGGGGUGCUCGAGUGGCGAACGGGUGAGUAGCACGUGAGUAACCUGCCCUUGACUUUGGGAUAACUUCAGGAAACUGGGGCUAAUAACGGAUAGGAGCUCCUGCUGCAUGGUGGGGGUUGGAAAGUUUCGGCGGUUGGGGAUGGACUCGCGGCUUAUCAGCUUGUUGGUGGGGUAGUGGCUUACCAAGGCUUUGACGGGUAGCCGGCCUGAGAGGGUGACCGGCCACAUUGGGACUGAGAUACGGCCCAGACUCCUACGGGAGGCAGCAGUGGGGAAUAUUGCACAAUGGGCGGAAGCCUGAUGCAGCAACGCCGCGUGCGGGAUGACGGCCUUCGGGUUGUAAACCGCUUUCGCCUGUGACGAAGCGUGAGUGACGGUAAUGGGUAAAGAAGCACCGGCUAACUACGUG